CAAACGACUCUCGGCAACGGAUAUCUCGGCUCAUGCAUCGAUGAAGAACGUAGCGAAAUGCGAUACUUGGUGUGAAUUGCAGAAUCCCGUGAACCAUCGAGUUUUUGAACGCAAGUUGCGCCCGAAGCCGUUCGGCCGAGGGCACGUCUGCCUGGGCGUCACAC
rnacentral:rRNA from 1 species